UCACCGUCCACGCAGCACGCACGCGGCUCCCACGUUGCCGUUUUUGGGCGGCAGGGGCUGGGGAAGGGGUUGUGGGGGCGGGGCGAGACUCUGGCUGACGGAAAAAGGCAUGAGCGUUAAGGUAGGUACCGGAGGGGGGGGCCGGGAGUGGGGGUUGGGGUGGCGGAGGAUCGGGUGAUCGGAUCCCAAAGCCCGGGGCUCUAGCUUCGGCGGCGGAGGCGGCGGCGUUACAGACCGAGCGGCCCCGUUCAGCACUCGCUCCAGCCCUUCGCGGAGCGCGUCGGCGCGGAGCCGUUCCUGCGGGAGCAGUUCGAGGAGUUCGUUCGACUUUCACGAAAUAGUCUCAACUCAGUCAGGAGGAGAGACGUACUACGAGAUGCAGGAAACUCAUUUAGUGACCAGGUCUUGUGAAAUGAAUCGGUGUUCCUGUUCCUACAGUCUGAAGAACAACGACAGACGAAGUAACUUCAAUACGCUUAGGAACGUGGACUAGGUGGAAAAUGACUGCUUUAUAAAUUCCUUUAUAAAUCCGAGAAGUAGUCGCUUAAAAGUGCCGAACGUCUGUAACCUUCAGGUAUAGAAUGCUCUUCCUACUUUUAUGACCUCUUACAACGACGCGAAUCUACGAGACAUUAAUACCAACUGUGACCAACAGUCCUGAACCAAGAACUAUACCGGUUUUAUAAGAAGAGCCGUCGUUUCGUUCCAGAAGUCGUUACACACGUGGUCCGAUACGAUAGUUAUUACUGUGUCUAUAAUUUACUUUUUCAAUGAGUCGGAGAAGACCUACACUAAAAGGCGUUAAAUCAUUUUCUCCUGUUCCCUCCUCGGGUGUUCGAACGGCAACUGUAGUAAGUUUUGACACGACUCUUUAACCUCGUGUAUCAAGCUUAAAAAAACUGUAGUACGUAAAACUCGUUCCUACGUGGCCAAUUACUUGUGUCCUUCGACGUAGUAUUUUAAUAAGACCUUUAUAAGGUCACACGUGGGGUCUACGAAAAACGACAAUAAGGUACGAAUUGAGUACUCGAGGACUCACUGGUCCAACUAUAGGCUGACCUCCGUCACGUGGACUAACCCUUCGAAGAACAGAAGAGAUUAGAAGCGAAACCAGUUCUUUUGGUCUAUAAUAAAUGACUUAAGAACUUCUCUAAGAGACUGUUUAGACGUCUUCAUUCUUAACGACGUUAACUACGUCGUUUUCGUACGAUGUAACGACGUAGUAGACCUUUACAUCGUGUCUUUCAAGAGUUUAGAGAACUUCCUUCCAAUAACCUAAAACUACUGUUUCACUCCUAGUCUCGACAAAUACGUCAAACACUAAAUCGGUUUAGUUUAGAUUCGAGUAAAGGAAGACUCAACUAUAAUGUUCGUCGUCUCUCCGAUGCACUGUUUUUCUAUAGACAGUCUUUCUUACAUUACGUAUUCAACCACCUCGACAUAGCUCUAAUGACACUCUUUACGAGGUUUCCUUGGCGCCGUUAAUUAUGAGUGAUACUUGUUUAGGGUCGAUUUGAAUAACAAGAGACAAAACUGUUUCUAACACUUAGAAAGUCCGGUGUGUUAUACCCCGAAUAAAAACGACUUCUUGAGAAAGGUAGUGGUGAAAGAGGUUUUCUUUCUCGUUACGUAACCCAACUCAAAAAAAGAAUAAAGUUUAGUGUUGUACAAUUCCGAAACGUACGGUAGAAAAGAGUCUUUUCUUCCAACGUUGACCUCAACGUUCGUAUAAAUAGUGAAGCUCGUUUCUUCCUUCUUAGAAGUCUACUUUAUGUCUUCUUUUAAACACGCAGUAAUUCCUUCUACAGGCGAAGGAAAUGUCUAUAGAGAUUUCAACUUCUGACGAAACUCUAAAACGUGGUCUACUUCCUAUUAUUGUAUAAAUUCCUAAACUGACUUUAUUCGUUUCUCCCGUGAUGAAAACGUUGUCAAGCUAGUUAGUCUCUAAGUAAAGAGUUCUCUUAACCAUUGUUUGUGGUUUAAAUGUCGAAGACGUUUCUUGACAGAUGUUUUGAGAGCGUAAGUGAUAAAUUAACCCUCUACUAAACACGGUAAAACCUCCAAGAAAAGAGGACGUCUUUACUUAAUUGGGUAAUACGUCUCAGGCGUACACUAGAAAAUGACGAUCAACGUUACCACAAAGGUAGUAAUAAGUCUCCGAGUCUCCUCAUGAACGAUUUCAACAAGAGGCUUCUGAGUCAGGACUAUUUACUCUUCUCAGAGGUUUACAACCGUAUAAACCGUUUUAGUGGCACAUUUAAUAGAUAAUUAAAGUCAUCACUACAGAUGGAGAAUGACCUCGUUUUCACAUAACUUCCUUGUGCACGACUUAGCUUUAUACGGUAAAGACGUUAACGAAGUGACUAGGUCAGAGGUCUACUGUUCUUUAAACGGUUUAAUACAUUCUUUCAACAACCACCAGAUGUACUAUUGGUAUUAUAGGGUUGAGAUAAUGUCAGCAACCCGAAUUAUAACCUCAUAAGAGGAAGGUACAUAUGUAGUAUACUGCUGGUUAAAUAGUUAAAACAAGUUGCACAAAAACAGAGUGGACUCAAACAAAGUUGAGGCCUUGACAGUGGGAGGUUACUUUUAAGACGUACGUCAAAGAGAACGUUUGACUUCUAAAUAACAGAGUUUCGUGAACAGUUUUCAACAAAUGGUUGUUGAUGACGGGCACUAGCUUAUCUCUUAAAGAAAUUCUACGACAACCUAUAUUAAGCGCUUCUUAAGUGCGGGUAAUGAUAUACACUUUUACUAUUCGGUAUAGAAUCUGACCGACGACCCUUUAGACAUGAUGCUGAUCGAUGUUCUACCCUAAGUGAGUAAAGAGGUCUUAAUAAAGCGUGACGGGAAGAGUACCGUUCCCUAAGAAGUAUAUAACAAGCGUUCAGUAAGUAAGUGUUUGAAAAACCGGAAAACUUCUUCGUACGUUAUGGACAAUCUAUACGUACACGAAAACGUAACCGUAGUUGACUAACGACACCUCUACAAGCAUGACUUAGCGAAUCCAUGAAUUGACUUCACCAUUUUCUCGUUUCUCCUCAAAGACAAGUAGUCUUGUUUUGGUCGUUACUGAGCUAACAUCUUGUGGGUCGUAUACGACAGGAAAAGAACUAGGUAUGCGAACGUAUACUACUCCUCAAAGCAAAAUUGAAAACACUUUUCCUCUGACCGAGCCGACUCAAAACCUCGGGUGAAUAACACUACAACUCUCUCGAUCAACUUUAUCUCCUAGAUUCGGUUUGGUUCGUACCGAGGCGGUGUUCGAGACAUAGGUAAGAAAACCCGUAGAAAGCACGACAAGUUUUCCGACUCCUACACUAACUAAGACUGUAGUGAGUAUUUGACGUGUAAGAGAGUUUUUAACCAAACGAAUACUAUUUUCUUGAACUAUUCGUAACGUUCUGUAGUCUAAGAGGUGCGGUAUAAGAGGACGGGAGUAGAAUAAUAUCCAACAGAGCCUCACUCUCUUUUCGCCUACUUACGACGGUUGAUCUAAAUUAAUGACUAUGAAAACACUUCUCUUAAGAUUUUCGAGUACUUGGAAUAUUGGUUGUCCUCCUAUGAUGUACGAGAUGAUAAUGACUCUCCCAUAGAUUUCUUAGACGAGGAUUUUCCGUUUGAGCAAGGAGUAGUUUGUUUGGUAAUAAACCUGUCAAACAUUCACCAGUACUCGUUCCCUUUUGCUUCUUUUCAAGUCAGGUCCGCUUUCUACAGGGGUUCUUUUUAAUGGACCUAUAGAACCUUUUUCUGUUGCACAGUAGAACACCAAGGCGGCCGUGUUUCGACAGUAGAGGUCCCAGAAACCCAAACUGAUUACUUCGACUAAGAUCUCUAGACUUCUGCUAUAGAAGUUUCCUGUGGUACAGUUGUCUCCUGAAAGGACUGACAGUAGAGUCUCUAACACUUGAUCUGCUUCUACAACCACUAACACUACCAUUAAAACACUUCGCAGGAAAGAGGUCGUUGUUUUGUCACCGACGGGAGUUCUUCUUUUCGUUCUCUCGUAACCUAAACUCUUUACGUUUCUUAAGACGACCUAGUCGACGCCUGUGUUAUCUGUUACAAGCUGCCUGGUCUAGUUCCUUCCGCGUUUGUAUUAUUGGUAGAUUGACUUCAAAAUCGACUGCACAGAAUCUGUAUGUAUACGACUCAAGGCCUUAUGGAGAACAUGUAGGCGGUCACUCGUAACGUCACUAGCAUCUUUUAGAAAACCAAAUAUAUGUGGUAGGCACUUUGGAACAUUUAUCUCUUCACCUACCAUCUCACUCACAAGUAUAAUAGAUAUUACAGUGAAUAGACUAGUUCCGUUUUGACGCCUUCAACUUUACAGUCUUGACCUUAGCAGCAACCAAAUUGACUUCUGAAUCUGGUGUUGACAGCAACUGGAGAAAUUAGGUACACCGACGGCAUACGAUUCUUAAUAAUGUGGCAGCUCCACGUCUUCACGUAAGGGGCUCCCAUCCUUCAACAUACCAAGGUUUUGUGCAGACUCACCUAAGUAGAUGAAGGAGACAAGUGAAAAUAUUCUGGAACUUCUGUAAAGUCUGUUACAUGUUUUG
rnacentral:rRNA from 1 species